rnacentral:lncRNA from 1 species
AACCUCCCCCGCCGCCUUGGGCGCCCUCCUCCCGCGGCCGCUCGCGCUCCUCUCCCCGCGGGGGCGUCCCGGGUUCCAUGCAGUCCCCCGGCUCCGCCACCCCACGGUGCAGGAGCGCUCGAGAAAGCAGGACGCGGCGAGCGGUUAUGUAAGCGCACCCCCCGCGCACCGCCGCCCGGCUUGUGCCCGCCAGGCAGCAGCAGCCGCAGCCCUAGGAGAGAGACGCGAGAGGCCGGAGCCGGGGGAAAAGUCAAAAGCCCCUUCACGCACAGCCUGUGUUAACCAUGUACCUCAGUCCCGGCGCUUCCCCCACAAACUGAGAGCGACAGGGAGAAUUUCCGCACAGUUUCAUCCUUGGACACUUCAGGACUGAGCGGAGCCAACCCCACUCCCACCUUCCAUCCUUCUAGAGAGGAAAUGGUGAAGGGGACUCCAGAGGGAAGGCGACAUCCAUGGUGCCCUCCAGUAUACAAAGGCAGAGACACAGAGCCCUCAGGUAGAACGGGGUUCCCUAGAUGGCAUCUCCUACCUCCAGAGCUCCUGGGUACCCAUCGAGCCCCCUACCUUCUGCCUAAGCCAGAUAGGAGUGACGAUUUUUAUACUCAGCGACUUUCGGCCUCCUUCUGAGAGUGAUGUCAGGUCAUCACCCAUAGAAGAAAGGAAGUGAAAGAAAAAGUUCAUGCCUUCUUGGAGUGCAGAUGCUCAGAGUGAAAGAAACAACAAGACUUGAGACAGAUGGGUGCCAUUGAGCAAACCCGAACAUGCAUGUCUCUCUCAUGUGAGUGAGUGCAUGAGACUUUAUUCUCCUUAUUUCCCCAGUGCAGUGAAAUCUUUCUGGAUAAAAGAAGUGGGCUAAUGGAAGGAGAGACAGACCAAGUCCCAAUGACAUUGCCUGACCAUUUUCACCUUCGCCAUCAGCAGUCUCCCUCACAGCAUUGGUGUGGGCAGGUAAGAAGAAAGCAAGGCCCUGAAAGAAUAUACAUUGGAAAAUGAGCAGUAAUUUGAUACUCUUGUGGAAGAGCAUGACUCUUCGCCCCAGAAAGGCCAAUGACACCUUUACUACAGCGUAAAGAUCAAAGCCAGGGACUGUGAAACUGCCUCAUGAUGUUUCUCCCAUGAGACCUGUGUCUGGAUGUUUAUAUGGAACAAAACAUGGAACAGAGGCAAUAGUACUUGAUGUGUCUUCAGCUGGGGCUUUGGAUAAACUAAACUGAUCUAUAUUCAGGGACUAAUAAUUAGGGUGUGUGGUUAGAGCGCGUCCUCUCUAGGGCCUGUUUUGGACUGUGGCUGGGCCACCAGCAGUCCUACUGGGCCUUUGCUUCCCCCACAAAUUAAAUAUGUUACAGGGGUGGCACCAAGGGGUGACUUGGGAGGCCUUUAGUCCCCUCUACCUCUCUAUAAUCUCCAUUAGAUCUUCUCUGUUAUUUGCUAUUGAUGCUUUUCAGUUUCAUAUAGGACGCUAUAAGAACACAGCUUCAAGGCCUCCCUUCCGCCACAUACUCCCUACUAGGCCCCUCUACGUAGUCACUGCCUCUGGGAGUGGCUAGAGGGAGAAGCCAUAAACUGGGUCCUUUAUGCAGACAUUGGAUGCUGGAUGGAGCUGAUUUACCACUGGCUCUUAGGGACAGACAAGUGACUCAGCCUAAGGCAGUUUGAAUUUAAGUUUCCUAUCACAACUAGAAAAGUCCUGAUUAACACGCCCAGCCCUAGUCAAUGGGCUGAUUGAGAGAUCGUCACAUAUCCCAAGAAAAUCUCACAAGACUGGGAAUUUUGUGGAUCUGCUGGAAAGAGAAGCUGCCAGAAGCCCCACGUGAAAGGGAACUACUGAGAGUGAAGCUAAUGGGAGGAAAAGUAGAGCCAAGCCACGGAGGGAAAGACAGAUCAAGUUCCAAUGACAUUGCCUGAGUUCCUGAAUUCAGUCAUGCCUGACAUCAUCCUGACCUCUGCAGGUUUUAGCUAUAGGAAUCAGUAAAUUAUGUCUUACCCAAGGCAGUUUGAAUUUGGGUUUCCUAUUACUUGCAAUUAGAAAAGUCCUAAUUAAUACAGUGGGUUUUGCAUCUCUGACUUAUGUGGACUAUUUCAUUUUGAAGUUUAAUGGAGAUUGAUGAAUCCCGAGCUCUUUGUAAAGAGGGGAAAACUGAAAUGGUGAGGUAAAAUAAUGAAUUCCCCAGACCUGCUCCUCCAAAAUCAAAGGAGAAAGUGAUAGUUCUGAGUAAUCAGCCAAUCAAUUAGUCUUUAUCCUAGUAUAUACUGAAAACCUAUUGUGCACCUUUAAGGUACACAAAGUUUAAGACAUGAUUUCUCACCUGUUCUAUGUCCCAUCUAAUUAGGAAAAAUGAUUUACAAACUAAUGAAUAGCAAGACAAAGAGUAGCUAAGAGCUAAUGAUGCGACACAGGCUAUAAGCACUGUAGGAGUUCAGACAGGAUUGCUGCUCCAGUCUCUACUCAAAUUGUAUAGACCAAAAUUGCAAACGCGUAGCUGGCAGGCUGAAAAUCUGGCUUUUCUGGCUUCAACCUUAAAUUUGUUUUUCUAAAAAAGACAGGCAUGGUGGUGCUCACCUGUAGUCCCAGCUACUCAGGAGACUGAAGCAGAAGGAUCAUUUGAGCCCAGGAGUUCAAGUCUGGCCUAGGCAACAUAGCAAGACCCCCAUCUCAAAAAAAUAAUUGUAGAAAAAAAUAUUUUUUUAAUAUAGCAAAGAUUUCAUAUAAAAAAAUCUAGAUUUCAAACUUCUCUUUUAAAAAUAUCAAAGUCAGGCAACAUUGGGCAUAUGUAAUAGUCAGGAUAAGCUAGGUUUUGCUGCAGUAACAAAUAUCCCCCCAAACUCAUUGGCUUAACAAAAGAAAGGCUACUUCCCACUCACACAAGACAACUGUGGAUUGAGGUGAUUCUCCAGGGCAGCUGUCUUAUAGAUGAUGCCUCAGUAUUUAUACCUUCAUAUCAACAAGUGCAUUUACAGCCACCAUGGCAGAGAAAAAGAAGUAGAGAGGGCCGAACACUAGCAGUGAAAUCUUUCCUCCUGAAGUGACAUACAUCACUUUAGCUUACGUUUCAUUGGCCAAAGCAAGUCACAUGGCCAUCCUUAAUUUCAAAGAUGCAAGGAAUCUCAGUCCUCCCAUGGACCAUGGAGGAGAAAGGAACCAGAAAAUAGCAAACAAUUAAUAUCUGCCACGGCACGCGCUUCCUUAUGGCAACAAUAGGCUGGAGCCCAUUAGAAGCUGCCCCUUGAAAUGGGACUUAAACACCCAGUUUGACAGUCUCCACCCAGCCUGCCUAGCCCUUGGGGGCAUUUGAUUUUGCAAGUCCUGGUAAAGAUAAAGCCAAUCUCAAUAUCAGUCUUUCAGAUGUCCCUGGUGAUCCGUGGAGUUAUCACACAGUUUUCAAAAACAAAUGUUUUGCUCUGCUUGAGACAAAAACUUAUGACAUGCAGAAUUCUUACAAUGAAAAGCAGGAUGGUAUCAUGAAAUCAAACAUGAAGUUGAAACUAGCUGUUAUUGUAGUCUGCAAAUUACAUAAACCUGUUUAUGGUGAUUUCUUCCUGUUGCUCUUCCCUCCAUCAAUCAAACACCCACCAGGAGAAACAAGCCUCCCAAGCUCUUCCCUGGAGUGGUAGUGACUUGGGAAGGGGGGCGGGGGGAUGUCUAAUUUAACAUUUUGAAGCAUUUAUAUAUAUAUAUGAAUAUACAUAUAUAUAGAUGUGUGUGUCUAUAUAAAUAUUCAAGGCUAAAAUAUUUGAGAAGAAAACUUGUGAGCUAGGAAUGGGAAGGCUUCUCUUCCAAUGACCACCAAUGAGAAUGUUAUAAAAUAUGUCUAAAGGUUUAAGAAUAAAUCAGCAUCCAUACAAAUGCAGCCAUCUCUUGGAAAAGCCUAGUGUCUUCUCUUUAAUCUCCUAACACAAUAAAGUUUUUGGAGGA